rnacentral:rRNA from 1 species
UACGUAGGUGGCAAGCGUUAUCCGGAAUUAUUGGGCGUAAAGCGCGCGCAGGCGGUUUCUUAAGUCUGAUGUUAAAGCCCACGGCUCAACCGUGGUCCGCAUUGGAAACUGGGAGACUGGAGUACUGAAGAGGAAAGUGGAAUACCACGUGUAGCGGUGAAAUGCGUAGAGAUGUGGUGGAACACCAGUGGCGAAGGCGACUUUCUGGUCAGUAACUGACGCUGAGGCGCGAAAGCGUGGGGAGCAAACAGG